rnacentral:lncRNA from 1 species
CCUGGUUGGGGGAUGGGCAGUCAGGAGCAGCUCCUCUGGGGAAGACAGGCAGUAAACCCGGAAGCUAAAGAAGUAGCAGCUCAGAGGUGGAGUGGCGUUGGGAUGGGGCAUCAGCAUGUAGGAAGCCCUGUGGACAGGGAGUGAGUUAAGGGCAGGGAAACCGAAGCCCAGGCAGUAGGAGAGAGGAUGCAGGGGAAGGUGGAACCCUGUGAACCCCAGGAAUGAAGGCUUUGGGCUUUGUCCCAAAAUCCACUGGGAAACACCGAGGGCUGGCGUGAGACCUUGUACCCAAAGGACAAGGGGAAUGGUCACUGGACCAUGUGGAAGGGGAGUGGUCAUCGGACCCAAGCAGUGGUGGUGGUCAUGGGGUGGCCUCAGCAGGUGACUGCAGGUUUCCAGGCCAGAUGACAGCCACCUGGACCGAGCUGGCCCCCAGAUUAGAGACGGAAGAUUGAAGAGCCAUGGAGGGUCCAGGUCCGAAGUUCUCUGUGCUGGGGUGGAGUGGGGUGAAAGAGUACUGGGGAUGACUGUGUCCGCUGGAGCUGCCUGGUUCUGAGAACGCAGGGACUGCCUCUUGAGGGUCAGAGUCUCCCACAUCCCCUGUCUUCGUGACCUGCCUCCUCAGGAAGCCGAAUGUGCCACCAGAGCUGGAAAUCUUGGCUGGGCUGAACGUUGUUUUUGAGGUUAACUUCUGCUCACCUCUUGACACUGGCCACGAUAAGCAAAGGCUACCCACCAGCCUUGGGAAAGAGAUAAAUCAUGGAGAGAAACAGUUUUCAGCAGGAUGAGUUCACACAUUUAAUCUCCAGAGACAGCUCUGUGCACAAACUACAAGUCUCUAAAUCAUGCUCACACGGCUGGUAUGGAUGAUUUCGGGUUCCGUUUGAGUUUAACAACAUUCUCAGCGAUUCCAUUGAUUCUCUGGAAGAGAAGUCACCAGGAACACUCCAGAAGGAAGAAAUGUCUAGUGUGUCCUAGAUCUCCACACCCUUCCAAAGACCCAGAGAUGGAGCAAUGCUGGAUAGACCCCACCUGCACACAGAGAAAGGCUGCUGGAGAGACGUCGUCAGAGCAGAGAGACAGUGGCCCUAAUCCCAGGACCCAGGCAACGUGUGGAGGGUGCAGGGUGGUGUGUGUGUGCUUUUAUCCCCAGCACCAGGACCUCAGGCCUGAGAGCUUCCCCUACCUGCCAUGGGAUCCUCGUAUUGAGCUGUUGCCUGAAGGUUUCAGCAUAAUGGCCAAUUGGUCAUUCAUCUUUAUCCCAAUCCAUCACCCCCACUGCUGGGGUCCCAGAGCCAUUCGCGUUGUUCUGAGGCAUUCAGGGCUUGCUAAGCUCCCCGUGGGCACAAGGCAGUUUCUCUGCAAGAACACUUCCCAACUUUGGCGACCUGACCCUCCUUGCUGGGGUGCAGGUAAAGGACAUGGCAGGUGCACUCCCUCUGUAACCCUCACUCAAAUGUGCCAAUCCGUGGGCUUAUAUGCCUUGACAUCUAAAGCACAGACAUGGUGCCUGGUCAUGAGCUGGGCCCUUUUUGGAGGGGAUCCAGAAGCAUUCGGAGCCAUCAGCAAAGCAUGGGGUCUCCCCCUCUGCAGGGCGCUGUCUGUGGAACUGCCUGUUUCCUCUGAUGAUAGGAUUCAGUCGCUCCAUAGAAACCUAGAUUUCUCCCUGUUGUCCUGAAGUGUGAGAAGCAAAGUCCUGUGUUCUAGACACAGAUACCUUCUGAAUUCUCCUCUCAUUGCUGGUCCACGUUCUGUGGCUUCGGCUGAGUAAUUCAACUCUCCAGGGACCUUGGUCACCCAUCAGUGAGAGCCACUGUGGGCAGAGAAGGGGAGCAGCAGGGCAAGCUGAGAAUGCAACCCCACAACACCACCCCAGUUACGUUGUUUCCUCGUAGGGCAUGUGGUUGAAGAGUGCUCGGGUUUUGACAUCUCAUAAAGAAAAAGUUGACAGAAUUGGGUUUGAUUCAGUCAUUUUGAAAAUAAGCACAGUUGCUUUUUAAUAUCCAUUUUUCUUGAAAAUAACAGUUUGUCUUUGUGUAUAACUGCCUUGUUUCUCAGUCUGGAUGUCUCUAUUUCUCAGGAAGUGGGGGGACCAGCAGGAGGAGAGGAACAUGGGUGUCUCAUGGUCCCAGCAGCCAGACAGAGCCCCCGUGUAGGUGUUGGCUGCAACAUCAGGUCCCUGCACACUAAAAUAGUGGGGAGCAAGGAGCAUGGGUGGGGCACAUGCCCAGUCUGCCCCGGUUGAAAUGACAGAGAAGAGCCCUUACUAGUCAGGCAUUCCAAUCACGACUGGAUUCCCCAAGACACGAAGGUGUGGUUGAUGUCUCCAUGCCAGAUCCUAGCACUAAAAGCUGUUCAUUCAAUGAGUGUCAAAGUGAAGAUGACCAGGGCGUGCAGAGCCCCCACACCUCCACUUCUGGCCCGUUCCACUGAUGAAUGUGCCCGUGUGUGUAUCUGUCUGCCCAUAGUGGGGCUUCUUUGCCUGGUUUUAUUUUACCAGUGGCUACAUUUCAUCAUCCAGCUUCACUUCCCGUAAAAGUUCUGGAUCAUGUCUGGUUUCCCUCUGAAACUGUGAAUCACACUCUCCACACCCUGCCUUUCUCUAGCACUGCAAGAGAAGCACUCCUCUGUGCAGGACACAUUCCUAUCUGCUGCCCCCGAGAGCCCUGGUUCAUCUCGUCGCUCCAUUCCAGUUCCUUCUAGAAGAUAAAAGUUGGAAAGUGACCUGAGCCCAGUGCUGGAGAACAUGGCAGUGCUCUUCAAGGCCUCCGCUGGAACAUCUGGUGUCUUCCAAGCCAGGUGCUGUACCUGGUCCGUGAAGAAAGUAUUGGCAAAGCCUCAGAGCAACUUCCAGGUCUUUUCAUCCAGACAAGGCCAGCUGCUGGCUGCCAGUUUGGGUCCAGCUCUUCAUCAGUUAGUGUUAGACCCACACAGUGUUUUAAAUAUUUCAGUGAACUAUGCAUAUCUAAGAAAUGUGAUCUUUUACAGAAAGAUCUGUAUUUCUGACUUUUCUUAAAAAAUCAAAGUGUCUUGCAAUGCUGGCCCCCAGCCCAACAUGGCAAUCAGCAGUUACAUUAGCUUCCUCCUUGGUGGCACCAAGCUGGCUCCUGCAGCCCUGGAACCCUAAAUACGAAAUACCUAUCAACGCAAUAGCCCCUAUGUCUUCUACUGAAAGUCACGACAGUUCUUCAACUGAAAGUCGCCUGGGAUCUAGCCAGGAUUCUACAUGCGUUUCUCUCUUUAUCAAGCUUGUCCAACCUGCGGCCCGAGGGCCCAUGCAGCCCAGGAUGGCUUUGAAUGCAGCCCAACACAAAUUAAUAAACUUUCUCAAAACAUUAGGAGAUUUUUUUGUGAUUUUUUUUUUUCUUUUUUAGCUCAUUAGCUAUCACUAGUGUUAGUGUAUUUUAUGUGCGGCCCAAGAUAAUUCUUGUUCUUCCAAUGUG